CUGGGAAUUAUCUCUGCAUGCACGCCAUCUUCAGGUGCAAGUGGUAAACGAAUCCCAAAUAAUGAAUGAAACAUCUGCAGAAGGGUUGAUGAGCUUUUUUUCACUUAUCGACAUUCUUUUGAUGAUGGUUCACAUCU
rnacentral:snoRNA from 1 species